GUUGAACUGGGUGUGAUGCCAUCAGAUAUCAUUUCAUACUACUACGAUAAUAACGAUGCCAUAGCUCUUACUAAGGAGCCGAGGUCUCAUCAGAAAUUCAAGCACAUCAAGUGGUGGUUCCACUUCAUCCGUGAUUAUCUCGAGAAGGGAUAGUCGAGGUGAAGAGAGUCAACUCCAUGGAUAAUAUGGCUAAUCCACUGAUGAAGCAAUUGAGCCAACAAAAUACUGAAGUCCACCUUG
rnacentral:lncRNA from 1 species